rnacentral:rRNA from 1 species
AACGGGUGAGUAACACGUGAGCAACCUGCCCUAGGCUUUGGGAUAACCCCGGGAAACCGGGGCUAAUACCGAAUAGGACCUGACACCGCAUGGUGUUUGGUGGAAAGUUUUUCGGCCUGGGAUGGGCUCGCGGCCUAUCAGCUUGUUGGUGGGGUGAUGGCCUACCAAGGCGACGACGGGUAGCCGGCCUGAGAGGGCGACCGGCCACACUGGGACUGAGACACGGCCCAGACUCCUACGGGAGGCAGCAGUGGGGAAUAUUGCACAAUGGGCGGAAGCCUGAUGCAGCGACGCCGCGUGAGGGAUGACGGCCUUCGGGUUGUAAACCUCUUUCAGCAGGGACGAAGCGUAAGUGACGGUACCUGCAGAAGAAGCGCCGGCCAACUACGUGCCAGCAGCCGCGGUAAGACGUAGGGCGCGAGCGUUGUCCGGAUUUAUUGGGCGUAAAGAGCUCGUAGGCGGCUUGUCGCGUCGACUGUGAAAACCCGCAGCUCAACUGCGGGCCUGCAGUCGAUACGGGCAGGCUAGAGUUCGGUAGGGGAGACUGGAAUUCCUGGUGU